rnacentral:rRNA from 1 species
UACGUAGGGGGCAAGCGUUGUCCGGAAUCAUUGGGCGUAAAGAGCGUGUAGGCGGCCCGAUAAGUCCGCCGUGAAAGUCCAGGGCUCAACCCUCGGAUGCCGGUGGAUACUGUCGGGCUUGAGUACGGAAGAGGCGAGUGGAAUUCCUGGUGUAGCGGUGAAAUGCGCAGAUAUCAGGAGGAACACCGGUGGCGAAGGCGGCAUCCUGGACCGAUACUGACGCUGAGGAGCGAAAGCCAGGGGAGCAAACGGG